GGCUCCCACUGAGCCCGCCAGGAAGGAGAGUGGCUGGGGCGGUAGCAGGCCACCCCGGGUGCGAGAGCCUUUCUGCCCGGGCUCGUUUCUACCCCGCACGUGGCUUGGUGCCUGAGCGGCGUGUGUCCCGUGUGGCGCGUUUGCUCCUGCGGGGCAGCUGGGCGCGCGGAGGAGUGGUUCCUUUUGGUAAAAUAUUAUCAUCUUAAUUAUAGCCAAGAAACCGAGGCAAUGAGGUUAAGUGUUUUGCCCAACUUGACAGAGGGACUACAGAGGUGGUACGAAAUUUUGGCCUGAGACUGCAGUGGGAAAUUAUUAUUUUAACUUUUCAGUUAAAAUUCAGCAUUCAGAUGAUGGAGUGUUCAGAAAAAGUACUGAAGAUAAGAAGUGCUCACGAAAGAAAACCCACUGGAGUACUGAGUUUUUUUUCCAGCCUGCUCUUGUAUGGUUCCAUCGUAGUCUAGAGAUAGGGAUUAUUAUGAGGAUCAUCACUUAUUCAAGUAAGAAUGCAUUGGCGUUGGCUGUGUGGGAAGUUUCCAAGAACUUUGCAGAAGGCUGGUAAUGGUGGGUCUCUGGCAGAGAUGGCCCAACUGAAGUCACAUGUGAUGUCUACCUAAUCACUGUUAGCAUUUUUUUUUCUUUUUUUGACUUUUAUAGCCCUGUUUUAUUUCCCUACUCUCAAUUUUGUAUUUUGAAGUUUUUUUCAUCUUUAUUGUACCACUUGUGCAUUCGCUAAUAAUAAUAAUGGGAGAACUGGGCCACUGCUAUUGCAGCAUGUGCAUGCAC